rnacentral:rRNA from 1 species
AUUGAACGCUGGCGGCAGGCUUAACACAUGCAAGUCGAGCGAGCGGCGGACGGGUGAGUAAUGUCUGGGAAACUGCCUGAUGGAGGGGGAUAACUACUGGAAAAGGUAGCUAAUACCGCAUACCAUCAGAUGUGCCCAGAUGGGAUUCGCUAGUAGGUGGGGUAAUGGCUCCACUAGGCGACGAUCCCUAGCUGGUCUGAGAGGAUGACCAGCCACACGGGGACUGAGACACGGUCCAGACUCCUACGUGAGGCAGCAGUGGGGAAUUUUGGACAAUGGGGGAAACCCUGAUCCAGCCAUCCCGCGUGUAUGAUGAAGGCCUUCGGGUUGUAAAGUACUUUUGGCAGAGAAGCGUUAUCUGCAGAAUAAGCACCGGCUAACUACGUGCCAGCAGCCGCGGUAAUUC